rnacentral:rRNA from 2 species
UUAAGCAUAUCAAUAAGCGGAGGAAAAGAAACCAACAGGGAUUCCCCUAGUAACGGCGAGUGAAGCGGGAACAGCUCAAAUUUGAAAUCUGGCCCUUGGGUCCGAGUUGUAAUUUGCAGAGGAUGCUUUUGGUGCGGUGCCUUCCGAGUUCCCUGGAACGGGACGCCUUAGAGGGUGAGAGCCCCGUACGGUUGGCCACCAAGCCUGUGUAAAGCUCCUUCGACGAGUCGAGUAGUUUGGGAAUGCUGCUCAAAAUGGGAGGUAUAUUUCUUCUAAAGCUAAAUACUGGCCAGAGACCGAUAGCGCACAAGUAGAGUGAUCGAAAGAUGAAAAGCACUUUGAAAAGAGGGUUAAAUAGCACGUGAAAUUGUUGAAAGGGAAGGAUUUAUGACCAGACUUUUUCUGGGGGGAUCAUCCGGUGUUCUCACCGGUGCACUUCCCCCAGUUGAGGCCAGCAUCGGUUUCUGCCGGGGGAUAAAAGCUUCGGGAAUGUGGCUCCUUCGGGAGUGUUAUAGCCCGUUGCAUAAUACCCUGGCGGGGACCGAGGUUCGCGCAUUGCAAGGAUGCUGGCGUAAUGGUUAUUAAUCACCCGUCUUGAAACACGGACCAAGGAGUCGAACAUUUGUGCGAGUGUUUGGGUGUUAAACCCUCACGCGUAAUGAAAGUGAACGGAGGUGAGAGCCUUUCGGGGUGCAUCAUCGACCGAUCCUGAUGUCUUCGGAUGGAUUUGAGUAAGAGCAUAACUGUUCGGACCCGAAAGAUGGUGAACUAUGCGUGGAUAGGGUGAAGCCAGAGGAAACUCUGGUGGAGGCUCGCAGCGGUUCUGACGUGCAAAUCGAUCGUCAAAUCUGCGCAUGGGGGCGAAAGACUAAUCGAACCAUCUAGUAGCUGGUUACCGCCGA